rnacentral:rRNA from 1 species
AUGGGAGGUCUUGGCAAGACUGCACUUGCAAAGAUGUUAUACAAUGACCAAGAGGUCCAACAACAUUUCCAGUUGAAGAUGUGGCACUGUGUGUCGGACAAUUUUGAUAUAAUUGCUGUUGUGAAAUCCAUCAUUGAAUUGGCUACAAAUGGAAGAUGCGACCUGCCUGACAGCAUCGAACUAUUGCAGAAGAAACUUGGCGAAGUCAUUGGCCAGAAGAGGUUUUUUCUUGUUCUUGAUGAUGUAUGGAAUGAAGAAAAGAAGUUGUGGGAGGAUGAACUGAAGCCACUGUUGUGUUCUGUUGGUAGACCAGGAAGUGUCAUUGUGGUCACAUGUCGAAGCAAGCAAGUGGACUCUAUAAUGUGCACUGUUAAUCCCCAUGAGCUAGCAUUUAUGAGUGAAGAAGAUUCAUGGAAACUAUUUUCAAACAAAGCAUUUAGCAAUGGUGCACAGGAGCAAACAGAGUUAGUCACAAUCGAAAAACGUAUUGUCAACAAAUGCGGGGGGCUGCCUGUUGCUCUGAAGACAAUGGGUGGUUUGCUAAGUUCAAAGCAACAGGUACAUGAAUGGAAGACCAUUGAAGAAACUAACAUUGGGGAUAAUGUUGGAGGCAAAUAUGAGGUCAUGCCCAUACUGAAGUUAAGCUACAAAUACCUGUCAUCAAGAGGGCCCUGGCUCUGCGGUUCCGCUUCCUCGAGGAGCAGGUCAAGGUGUCGCUGA